GAACCCAAACCCAAAGAGGCAAAGAGAAAAUUUAACUCAGAAAAAAAGAAGAAAAAGAAAAUUCCUACAGCAGCAGCAGCUCUGCUCUGAUGGCUGAUGGCUUGACUUGCGAAGGAAGGCGGUAAAAGCACAGCCACGUGCCUUUCGUGCCCUGUUUGCUUUGCUUGACUGAAAGGAACAGUUCUUCCGUCUCUGUUGAUUGCUAGUCUUUUUGGGAGCUUCGUGUUUAAUGGAUAUAUUUAUCUUGUGGGCGGAAAAUAUAUAUCUUUUUGGUUGGUUUUGAUUAAUUUAAAGAAGGGGACUGCAGGAGGUUUUCAAUUUCCUGAUGAUGAGUGAUAAAAAAAGUUCUGUCUUAAGUUAUUCAUGUUUUUCGGAUGUGUUCUUCGUGAGGUUCCUGGGUAUUCCUGACAAUGCAUGCUUCUGAAUGCAGUGCUAGUUUUUGGUGUUUGUUCAAUGUUUUCUUUCGGUUUGAUGUUGGGAGAGAGCAUGAGUCUCAGACCUGUUAGUAACGGUUUAACGAGGGACAGGAUUAGAUUAGCCUUUGGUGGGACAUCCUUGAUUCUUAUAAAGAUUCGUUUUUUUUUUUUUUGGGGGGUGGGGUGGGGGGUGCUAUAAUCAAAACACUCGAGCUAGCUGUAGCACAGUUAUGUCAGGAUUCUUCUGGUUCCUAGUUGUGAGCUGCACAGUAAAGGAAUCAUUUCAACAUUAUUGGAAUCUGGACUGAGAACAAAUUCCAGUUGUAUGAGAUGCCUGAAAGACUUCUUCUUGCAAACGGUCGGCCCCCCAUGUUUCCAUUGACCAAUUGGAAUUGGAUCAUAACCUGUCUUUCACCCUGCAAAUCUUUCCUUCAGCGUAUCACUGGUGGAGAUCUUUUCAGUGAUAUGAUUUCGGGUGAAUCAGAAUUAUCUUUCUGGUCUCUGGUUCUCAAACAGCAUCCGUGAUUGUUCCCAGGAUAGUAGCAUCAGACUUAUCAGGGACCGAUGGGGCCUCCCCAUAAUUCAGCUGUGGCCAAAGGUAGAAGACCACCCGGGCCAUUUACGGGUCCAUCUGACACGUGAACUCAGGCUAUGAUUUGUGUUCUUGGGGACCCUUGUGGCCACCACAACAGGGAGAACUCCACCUUAGGCGUGCGGAGGCCAAUUUUCCCAGCGUCUGAACUCAACUGGAGACCGUAUGGGCGGCCAAAUGGGCUCCAUGGAGACCCUUUUGAGAGCACAGACCCAUUACCAUCACCGAUCAGCAGAUCGACACGACAUGAUGCCACGUCAAGAGAUAUCCCAGGAACUCAAUUGGCCUGCUGAAGAUCGGGGGCUGGCGAAUCAGGGUGAACCAAGUGACUAUGCUCCGUACCUGGGACAUAGGGAAGCAGGGGUACCUCUUGAGACUAGGAAGAGCUUCGAUCGAAUCUUGCAUCUGUAUGGAAUCCUGAAGCAGCUUUGUUAUCCGAUCCAGAAAUUUCCGAGGGUCGUGACUUCAUGGCUGUUUUCUGGCUCAACAUUAUUUGCUAAUGAGAUUCAAAACGAUCAUCGUGUCUGGUAUAGUCUAGUUUUAUGCUGCGAUUCCUUUUCCAAUAUAGUUUUCCAGUCUUUUCUACUGGACAUUGCAUUAGAGUUCAUGUUCCUGUUCCACACAUAACAUUAGGAUUCGGUUUUUAAGGGCGCCCGGGUACAUAUAUUUGGGCCUAUGUCCGUUAUGUCCGAAAAUCGUUGACGUGUCAUUUUUUUUCCUCGAGCCUAUAUAGUUUCCACCCGGAACAUUUUGGUCAUUCUACUAUUAUAUGAGACGGGGGGAUUGUAGAGAUGGAAUUUGUGGGGACAGGACAGGAUUUGAGAUAUGGUCGUCAGUUCAGUUCCUGCCUUCCUCUUUCCUUGUAUUUGCAUGCAAAGCCGACGUCAAAAAAGCAAGUCUUUCUGCACAUGCUUCUUUUCCUGCAACAACUUUUUGUGCCCAAAGCUUUCUUUAAUGGCUUCCAUAUUUAUUUAUGUAUAUGUAUAUGUA